CAGUUCUGGGCUCUGCGUUCAGAGGUGUCGGGAGACCCCCCCGCGCCCCCCCCGGCACUGAGCGGUCGCUGACAGGGAUCAGUGACGUUGCUAUAGUGACCGGGGGGGGGUCCUGGCCCCCUUGUGCCCGGCGCUGCCGGGGGCUGCGGGGACAAUGUGCCGUGGGGGGCUGAGCGCCCUGACCCGAGCGGUGACCCCGGCAUCCACGCCGACCGCCCCCAGCCGGGGGGGCGGCCCCGCUCGGACCGGCACCCAUGGGUGCUGCACCCGCCGGCAAGCCCCUCGCGGCCCCGUGAGGCUCCCGGGCUGCGGGGAGUCCCCGGGGCCAGGCGCUGCCCAGGCUGGGUCCCUGCCACGUCUGCGGGCCGGGCGGGGCUCUCAGACCGAGCCCUGUGGGCAGAGCCUGGCUGAGGGUUAGUGGAGGGAGUAAAUUAACCCCCCAGGUAGACCAGGGUUAAAUGAAGGAAAAAGGCUUCUUGGAUCUCUCCGACCUUUAAUGGCUCCCAGGACGGUUCUUCACGCUGGGUUUAACCCCCAGGGCCUGGAACUCCGGAGUGUGGCUUGUCCUUGGCUACCUAUGGCUAACUUGUGUCAGCACCAGUCUAGUCGCACCCACAGUCAGCAAUGGCGAUGGUCAUAUCUGUAGUGGAAGCACAUCUUUAGGGGUUUCAGAGGAGCAGCCGUGUUAGUCUGUAUCCGCAAAAAGAAAAAGAGGACUUGUGGCACCUUAGAGGACUAACAAAUUUAUUAGAGCAUAAGCUUUUGUGAGCUAUAGCAUCCGAUGAAGUGAGCUGUAGGUCACGAAAGCUAUGCUCAAAUAAAUCUUUAAAGGUGUCAUCCUAGGGAGGAGAUGUUAACCCCCGCUCUGUCUCUGGCUGUGUGUUGGCGCCCGAAGGCGGGGAGAGUUUGGAGCCCCUGGGUCUGUGCAUUAAUCAGGUCUUAGUUUGGGCAUGAGCUCCUGUUGCAGAGCACAGAACAGCUGCUGCUUUUGUUCUGUUAGGAUCUCCUGUAGCUGCCGAAUAAAGAGCUUCCGGAUCCCAUUGAGGGUGGGGUGAGGAGAGGGGAAGGCACAUCCUGCUGUUCCAGGCAUGGACUUGAAUCUUCCUUGCUCCCUAUGAGGCAGCAGCUCGGACCCUGGGGAGCUCAGCAGCGCAUAUUGAGCUGGGUACUUUUCCAUAAGGAACUGGGACGGUCAAGCUGAAAUAAAGGACUCCCGCCUUUUGCCAGAUCUAUAUAAGGGGGUGAAACAGGAGAGAAGCUGCGGCCAGUCAGGAGAAAGUCCCUGCUCACCAUCCAGGAUGUCUGCUGGAACUAACAUAAACUAAACAGGGGGAAGGAUUGGGCCCGGAUUAGAAAUGAGUCUAGUCUGUG